AGCGGGAUGCCUUACACAUGCAAGUCGAACGGCAGCACGGACUUCGGUCUGGUGGCGAGUGGCGAACGGGUGAGUAAUGUAUCGGAACGUGCCUAGUAGCGGGGGAUAACUACGCGAAAGCGUAGCUAAUACCGCAUACGCCCUACGGGGGAAAGCAGGGGAUCGUAAGACCUUGCACUAUUAGAGCGGCCGAUAUCGGAUUAGCUAGUUGGUGGGGUAACGGCUCACCAAGGCGACGAUCCGUAGCUGGUUUGAGAGGACGACCAGCCACACUGGGACUGAGACACAGCCCAGACUCCUACGGGAGGCAGCAGUGGGGAAUUUUGGACAAUGGGGGAAACCCUGAUCCAGCCAUCCCGCGUGUGCGAUGAAGGCCUUCGGGUUGUAAAGCACUUUUGGCAGGAAAGAAACGUUCCGGGUUAAUACCCCGGGAAACUGACGGUACCUGCAGAAUAAGCACCGGCUAACUACGUGCCAGCAGCCGCGGUAAUACGUAGGGUGCAAGCGUUAAUCGGAAUUACUGGGCGUAAAGCGUGCGCAGGCGGUUCGGAAAGAAAGAUGUGAAAUCCCAGAGCUUAACUUUGGAACUGCAUUUUUAACUACCGAGCUAGAGUGUGUCAGAGGGAGGUGGAAUUCCGCGUGUAGCAGUGAAAUGCGUAGAUAUGCGGAGGAACACCGAUGGCGAAGGCAGCCUCCUGGGAUAACACUGACGCUCAUGCACGAAAGCGUGGGGAGCAAACAGGAUUAGAUACCCUGGUAGUCCACGCCCUAAACGAUGUCAACUAGCUGUUGGGGCCUUCGGGCCUUGGAAGCGCAGCUAACGCGUGAAGUUGACCGCCUGGGGAGUACGGUCGC
rnacentral:rRNA from 1 species